rnacentral:rRNA from 1 species
UACGUAGGGGGCAAGCGUUAUCCGGAUUUACUGGGUGUAAAGGGGGCGCAGACGGCGAUGCAAGCCAGGAGUGAAAGCCCGGGGCCCAACCCCGGGACUGCUCUUGGAACUGCGUGGCUGGAGUGCAGGAGGGGCAGGCGGAAUUCCUGGUGUAGCGGUGAAAUGCGUAGAUAUUAGGAAGAACACCGGUGGCGAAGGCGACUUUCUGGACUGUAACUGACGUUGAGGCACGAAAGUGUGGGGAGCAAACAGG